AUUGAACGCUGGCGGCAUGCUUUACACAUGCAAGUCGAGCGGCAGCGCGGGGGCAACCCUGGCGGCGAGCGGCGAACGGGUGAGCAAUGCAUCGGAACGUACCCUGGAGUGGGGGAUAACGCCGCGAAAGCGGCGCUAAUACCGCAUAUGCUCUGAGGAGGAAAGUGGGGGACCGCAAGGCCUCACGCUCUGGGAGCGGCCGAUGUCCGAUUAGCUAGUUGGUGGGGUAAAGGCUUACCAAGGCGACGAUCGGUAGCUGGUCUGAGAGGAUGAUCAGCCACACUGGGACUGAGACACGGCCCAGACUCCUACGGGAGGCAGCAGUGGGGAAUUUUGGACAAUGGGGGCAACCCUGAUCCAGCCAUGCCGCGUGAGUGAAGAAGGCCU
rnacentral:rRNA from 1 species